CUAUAGACUCGUUUUACCGCCAAGUAUGUUGCGUGUUCAGAACAUUUUUACGUAUCGAUGUUACGUAAAUAUGUGGACGACCCGAACCACAUUAUUAAAUUAGAACUAAACAAUAUAGCAGAAGAUUUAACGUAUGAAGAGAUACGUGUUAAAAUCUUAGAUAAGAAGGAUCGUAUUCAACACUCAAAGGUUAUAUCUCAAGAGUUAGAAUCUGAAAUGAAGUCAAGGUACCCUCACCUCUUCGGCAUACCAGGUACGUACGUAAAUUUCGAGGGCGAAAUUCAUAAGUAGGGGAGAUUGUGAAACCCCAGAUUUUAUGAAUAAAAAUUUAAUUUUCUCGAAAUAUUUUUUGAAUAUUAUGGUGUGGAUUUGAGAUAGUGUUAUAGUUGUGGGUAGUAUUUAUAAAUUUUGAAAAGUAUGCAAGUUGUAUAAUAUUCGAUUGGUCGGGGAAUAUUCUUUUUAUCGGGGAAUAUCUGUACGACGGUACAAUCAUUGGUGGACCCCACAACGGAAUCAUUGUCGGAUUGAGAAAACGACAAAAAUAUUUUUAUGAAAAUAA
rnacentral:lncRNA from 1 species